UCUGUAAUAAAAAGGAAAAGGAAAGGUUG
rnacentral:piRNA from 1 species